UCAGCUGGGCUCACACACAGGCUGAGGGAAGGGUCGUGUUGCUCCCAAGCCCACACUGUUCUUGGAUCAGCUGGGUUGGAACAUGGGCUGAGGGAAGGUAUGUGUGUGUCCCCAGCCCACCCUGUUCCUGGAUCAGCUGGGCUGGUACACAUGAAAGCCCGAGUGGCCCUGGAAGUACGAACCACUUUUUCAUCCACACUCCACCACGCCAGAGCACAGAGAGCUGUAUCAAUUAACGGCAGGGGUAGAACGAGCUACGCUGAGUGCCAAGAGUCUUAAUGAAGACAUGUAGUCUCCAUACUCCUCUGAAGAGAUAUAUCAGAGUUGGUGAGAGAAACCUGCCAUUUCCAGAGCCAGCGGAAUGAGUUCGUCUGUGGGGACCUGAACACUAGAAGUGAAUCACAGCCCAAUUUCAUAAAUGCAAAAGGUUAUAAGCAUAUGAAAAUCAAAAUGUCAGGUGCCAAUAACUGCUUCCCUCAGAACCCCAGAACCAAGCGGAAUUGUGGAGUCACCAAAAGUACCCAAGACCUCCUGGAGCUCUGUCAAAUUCUGAGUCUGUGCAGCGUUAAUGGUGGGUUAUGAGGGGACUCGUUAGAGAGGUGCAGUGUUGCCUCACCUCUUGGCAAUAGCACGGCAGAUUAUGGAUUAUAGACUCCUACCCUUUCACUCUAAGCACUUAUACUGUUGAACUGCCGUAUAAGUGCUUACCCCACUGAUCACAGCUAAAUUACUGCGUUCAUUAAAAGGACAGGAAAACAGCUCUGCAUGCUCUGCCCACAAAGAUGUCCAAUAGUUGGAGGUCACAGAUCUUAUAAGAGUUCCAGAGAGUAGUUGGUAGCCAAAAAUACAAACACCUCCUGAACUCUGCAUAGUAUGUUCACUGUAGAGAAGGAUUCAGUCUGACAGCAGUAUAAAUAUUUUUAUUGAAAAGAAAUAUGGCAGAAAACCAAAUUUGAAAGUUCAGAAAACUCAUUUGACUGCCAAAAUAUGCUAAUUUAGGAAAAUAUAAAACCAACACAGGGAUUAAAUAACACAAACAUGCACCUCUUUUACUGUGAAACACCAAAGCAACGUAAACACAGAACACAAAAAGCACAUUAGCCUGACGAGUGUAAAACUAUUCAGUGUGAU